ACGCGUUGACGCCUUGCAGCC
rnacentral:miRNA from 1 species